GGUCCCGUGGUGUAGCUGUUAUCACGUCGCCCUGUCACGGCGAAGAUCGCGGGUUCAAUUCCCGUCGGGACCG
rnacentral:tRNA from 1 species